UUAUCAAAAGCUGAACAAUUAAAAAUGUAAUGGUAUUCAUCACCAAUGGCAUCUGAAUUACACAAUACACAUUUUCUGUUUUCUCUUUCUAUGUUUUGCCAUCUUCCAGUUUCUAUUGGAAAUUUCAUGUUCAAAGUUCGAAAUUUAAGAAAUAAGGAUAUCUGUCAUCCAAAAUAUUUAAAUAUUUCUCAAACUCCAAAGUAUCUUUAAAUAAACGAUAAUUUAAUGCUUUUGGUGAUUCCUGUAGGCUUGCUAGCCAUUUUUG
rnacentral:lncRNA from 1 species